CCCCUUGUGUCUCAGCUGGUAAAGAAUCCGCCUGCAAUGCGGGAGACCUGGGUUCUAUCCCUGCAUUGGGA
rfam:TPA: Bos taurus chromosome 1, whole genome shotgun sequence.